rnacentral:rRNA from 1 species
GACGAACGCUGGCGGCGCGCCUAACACAUGCAAGUCGAACGAGCGAGAGAGAGCUUGCUUUCUCAAGCGAGUGGCGAACGGGUGAGUAACGCGUGAGGAACCUGCCUCAGAGAGGGGGACAACAGUUGGAAACGACUGCUAAUACCGCAUAAGCCCACAGGUCGGCAUCGACCAGAGGGAAAAGGAGCAAUCCGCUUUGAGAUGGCCUCGCGUCCGAUUAGCUAGUUGGUGAGGUAACGGCCCACCAAGGCAACGAUCGGUAGCCGGACUGAGAGGUUGAACGGCCACAUUGGGACUGAGACACGGCCCAGACUCCUACGGGAGGCAGCAGUGGGGAAUAUUGCACAAUGGGGGAAACCCUGAUGCAGCGACGCCGCGUGGAGGAAGAAGGUCUUCGGAUUGUAAACUCCUGUUGGUGAGGAAGAUAAUGACGGUACUCAACAAGGAAGUGACGGCUAACUACGU